AAGGAUUCAAAGGUCGAACAGACCUAAACUUUAAACUUCUCCGCCUAAAAAUUACCCUUAAUCCAACAUCGAGGUCGCAACCCUUCUUGUCGAUAAGAACUCUCAAAAAAGAUUACG
rnacentral:rRNA from 1 species